GGGCUUUCUGCCUUCACUGUGGCUAUGUGAGCACAGUGAGGAUUUCUAAAAUUGCUGAGGGUUUUGUGAGUUGCUAGGAAGGAGAAGCCUCUUGAACAUAGAACAAAUCAAGACAUUCUGAAGGACUGAGGAACAGAAUUCUUUGUUGCCACACAAAGCAAUGUUAUGUUCCUCUGCUCCCAGUUAAGCUGGAAUAGACAGUGUUCCUCAGCAGCUAAUAAUUCUUCUGUUUUUAUUGCUUCAUUAAGCACCAAGAGGAUGAAGUUUGUGGAAGAGAGCCUUGGGGCAUAAAGCAGGCAGAAUUUGGGCGAUGGCAGAGACUGCCCACGUGGAAGUAGGGCUCAGGCGGCUUUUGGCAGAAAGAUUUAUCGUAAUAGAAUGGUGUCAAAAGUGGGAUGAUCCCAUGCCCCAAGGUUCCCAGAGGAAGAGGUAAACCUGCCUCCACAGUAGGCCCUAUCGGGUGGCUGAGAGGCAUUGGAACAGCAUCCAUAUGCUCGCACAGACCCAGCGCUCUUGGGAUUUGGACUCAGCACUCCCGAGAUGAUAAAGACAGAUUCAGAUAAAGAAAAACAUCUAAAGUGAGACACAACUGCUCCUGGCACACCAAUUUUGUCAGAAUGGAGGAUGGGCAUCAAAGAAACUCAUUAUGGAGUUUGCUUUCAACAUGGCAAGAUUAGCCAUUUGGGCAAGAAACUGCCCUUGUCUGGACUGUUUGUUGCUGUAUAAACUGGACAUGGAGGACACACAAGAAAGGGACUGCUAAACUUACAAAACAAGACAUUACUGAUGGGUUCCUGUUGAAAUGGAGAAGUGUGCCAGACACACUGUGGCCUAUAGGCUGAAGAUGGAUGCCUCAACGUUUCAGAGGAACUUUGAACAGAGGACUGUCCAGGUAGCCUGAUGUCUCUGUCAAUUCUAGAGUUUAUAUAUUAUCCUUCUGUGGUAUUUGAUAGAGUUGAAGACAGAUAGUUAUGGUUAUAGUUUUCUUCAGUUAUUAUAAAAGAUAAGUUACCCAUCUUUUUAUUUAGACAGAAAAGAGGAGAUGACGGGGAAGUACUUCUGUGUAUGUUUAUCUUAUUGAUUGUUUAAUAAAGUUAUGUUUGGCCAAUGAAACAGCAAGUUAGACAGAACUAGGAGUCAGAGGAUUCUAGGAAAUAUAGUAGAGAAGUGGUGAUCCAGGCAGGAAGUGACAUAGCAAGGAGACUCAUAUUAAGCAAGGAGAAACAGGAAGUGUCCCUUUUCCCUUUUCGCCUGCUCCAGCAGUGCCAUGUGAGCCACCGGCAAGAGAGGGUGCCAGUGGAAGGCAUCCCUAUAAGAUAAGUCUUAUAAAAUAUAUAGAUUUAUGAUAAUUAAGACUGAGCUAACAGAUGAGAAAUCCUAGUCAUUGGCCAAGCAGCUUUGUACCUAAUAUGUCUCUAUAUUAUUUUGUCCAUCCACACAGCAGGUAGAACUCGGGCGGCUGGCAGAGACCACCCAUGUGGCGGUAGGGAUUGGGCAGCUUUUGGAGGAAAGAUUUAUAGUAACAAUGGAUGAGAUAACAAAAUUCUGCAGAGACCUUAUUAGACACUUGCAAAUGAUUUUGAGAGAAAUGUCUAGAGAAAUAAAUCCAGCACAUAUAACAAAGUAUGUGUUGUUUGGGGAUGGGGAAACAAUUUUAGUAGAAAAUUCUUUAUGACCCAAGUGUGUGGGGUUUGCUUGUGUGUAAGGUGCUGCUUGUCCCACAUAUUUCUUCUAUAAUAUGAAUAUAUAUGUAAACAAUUCUUUAUCCCUUAUUAUUAUUAUAAUGCUAUUAAAGCCACAAGACACAUGCAAACUAUCUGGGCAUUGAUGGUGUAUGUCUUUAAUCCUAGCAUUCAGGAGCAGAGGCACGUGGAUCUCUGUGAGUUUU
ensembl:lncRNA